GGUCAAUGAUGUAUUGGCAUGUAUUACCUGAAUUUACUGCUGAUGUGUAAUACUUAGCUCUAGAAUUACACUGAGACCUU
ensembl:snoRNA